CCUACGGGCGGCAGCAGUGGGGAAUAUUGGACAAUGGGGGAACCCUGAUCCAGCCAUGCCGCGUGUGUGAGAAGGCCCUCGGGUUGUAAAGCACUUUCAGUGAGGAAGAACGCCUGGUGGUUAAUACCCAUCAGGAAAGACAUCACUCACAGAAGAAGCACCGGCUAACUCCGUGCCAGCAGCCGCGGUAAUACGGAGGGUGCGAGCGUUAAUCGGAAUUACUGGGCGUAAAGCGCGCGUAGGUGGCUUGAUAAGCCGGUUGUGAAAGCCCCGGGCUCAACCUGGGAACGGCAUCCGGAACUGUCAAGCUAGAGUGCAGGAGAGGAAGGUAGAAUUCCCGGUGUAGCGGUGAAAUGCGUAGAGAUCGGGAGGAAUACCAGUGGCGAAGGCGGCCUUCUGGACUGACACUGACACUGAGGUGCGAAAGCGUGGGUAGCAAACAGGAUUAGAUACCCCGGUAGUC
rnacentral:rRNA from 1 species